rnacentral:rRNA from 1 species
AUUGAACGCUGGCGGCAUGCCUUACACAUGCAAGUCGAACGGCAGCACGGGAGCAAUCCUGGUGGCGAGUGGCGAACGGGUGAGUAAUAUAUCGGAACGUGCCCAGUCGUGGGGGAUAACGCAGCGAAAGCUGUGCUAAUACCGCAUACGAUCUACGGAUGAAAGCGGGGGAUCGCAAGACCUCGCGCGAUUGGAGCGGCCGAUAUCAGAUUAGCUAGUUGGUGGGGUAAAGGCCCACCAAGGCGACGAUCUGUAGCUGGUCUGAGAGGACGACCAGCCACACUGGAACUGAGACACGGUCCAGACUCAUACGGGAGGCAGCAGUGGGGAAUUUUGGACAAUGGGCGCAAGCCUGAUCCAGCAAUGCCGCGUGCAGGAUGAAGGCCUUCGGGUUGUAAACUGCUUUUGUACGGAACGAAACGGCCCUUUCUAAUACAGGGGGCUAAUGACGGUACCGUAAGAAUAAGCACCGGCUAACUACGUGCCAGCCGCCGCUGUAA